rnacentral:rRNA from 1 species
CCUGGCUCAGGAUGAACGCUAGCUACAGGCUUAACACAUGCAAGUCGAGGGGCAGCGGGAUUGAAGCUUGCUUCAAUUGGCGGCGACCGGCGCACGGGUGAGUAACGCGUAUCCAACCUUCCGUACACUCAGGGAUAGCCUUUCGAAAGAAAGAUUAAUACCUGAUGGUAUGAUGAGAUUGCAUGAUAGCAUCAUUAAAGAUUUAUCGGUGUACGAUGGGGAUGCGUUCCAUUAGGUAGUAGGCGGGGUAACGGCCCACCUAGCCAACGAUGGAUAGGGGUUCUGAGAGGAAGGUCCCCCACAUUGGAACUGAGACACGGUCCAAACUCCUACGGGAGGCAGCAGUGAGGAAUAUUGGUCAAUGGACGAGAGUCUGAACCAGCCAAGUAGCGUGAAGGAUGAAGGUCCUACGGAUUGUAAACUUCUUUUAUAAGGGAAUAAACCCUCCCACGUGUGGGAGCUUGUAUGUACCUUAUGAAUAAGCAUCGGCUAACUCCGUGCCAGCAGCCGCGGUAAUACGGAGGAUGCGAGCGUUAUCCGGAUUUAUUGGGUUUAAAGGGAGCGCAGACGGGUCGUUAAGUCGGCUGUGAAAGUUUGGGGCUCAACCUUAAAAUUGCAGUUGAUACUGGCGUCCUUGAGUGCGGUUGAGGUGUGCGGAAUUCGUGGUGUAGCGGUGAAAUGCUUAGAUAUCACGAAGAACUCCGAUUGCGAAGGCAGCACACUAAUCCGUAACUGACGUUCAUGCUCGAAAGUGUGGGUAUCAAACAGGAUUAGAUACCCUGGUAGUCCACACGGUAAACGAUGGAUACUCGCUGUUGGCGAUAUACUGUCAGCGGCUUAGCGAAAGCGUUAAGUAUCCCACCUGGGGAGUACGCCGGCAACGGUGAAACUC